rnacentral:rRNA from 1 species
AUACGUAGGGGGCGAGCGUUAUCCGGAUUUAUUGGGUUUAAAGGGAGCGUAGGCGGGAGAUCAAGUCAGCUGUGAAAUGUAGAUGCUCAACAUCUGCACUGCAGUUGAAACUGGUUUUCUUGAGUGCGUAAGGGGCAGGCGGAAUUCGUCGUGUAGCGGUGAAAUGCUUAGAUAUGACGAAGAACUCCGAUCGCGAAGGCAGCCUGCCGGGCCGCGUCUGACGCUGAAGCUCGAAGGUGCGGGUAUCGAACAGGAUUAGAUACCCUGGUAGUCCGCACAGUAAACGAUGGAUACUCGCUGUCGGCGAUAUACGGUCGGUGGCCAAGCGAAAGCGUUAAGUAUCCCUCCUGGGGAGUACGCCGGCAACGGUGAAACUCAAAGGAAUUGACGGG